UUUCCGUAGGUGAACCUGCGGAGGAUCAUUAAAGAGAAUAUGCCCUUCGGGGUAGGUCUCCCACCCUUUGUUUAUAUUACCUUUGUUGCUUUGGCAGGCCCGUCUUCGGACCACCGGCUUUGGCUGGUCAGUGCUUGCCAGAGGACCCAAAACUCUUAUUAUUAAUGUCGUCUGAGUACUAUAUAAUAGUUAAAACUUUCAACAACGGAUCUCUUGGUUCUG
rnacentral:misc_RNA from 1 species